rnacentral:rRNA from 1 species
GGGGAAUAUUGGACAAUGGGGGGAACCCUGAUCCAGCAAUGCCGCGUGUGUGAAGAAGGCCUGAGGGUUGUAAAGCACUUUCAGUGGGGAGGAGUAUUGAUAGGUUAAGAGCUAAUUAAUAGGACGUUACCCACAGAAGAAGCACCGGCUAACUCCGUGCCAGCAGCCGCGGUAAUACGGAGGGUGCGAGCGUUAAUCGGAAUUACUGGGCGUGAAGGGUGCGUAGGUUGUUCAUUAAGUUAUCUGUGAAAUUCCCGGGCUUAACCUGGGUAGGUCAGAUGAUACUGGUGGACUAGAGUAUAGGAGAGGGUAGUGGAAUUUCCGGUGUAGCGGUGAAAUGCGUAGAGAUCGGAAGGAACACCAGUGGCGAAGGCGGCUACCUGGCCUAAUACUGACACUGAGGCACGAAAGCGUGGGGAGCAAAC